GUUGGCCGCUGCUAAAAAAUCCAGUUUUAGUCACAGUUUUUCCUUAAAGUGCUGCUAUAUAUUUUUUUAUGGUGACGGUUUGUACUCACCCGCUACAAUUAGCCAAGCAAAAAUAAAGGGGCGCCAAAAAAAAUCUCAUUUCGCACUCAAAUUUGAUUUUUUCUUUUUCUUUUUUUUGGGUGAAUAACAUAUCAGAAUCAGUCCCCAACAAAACCGUUCAACUCCUUAAAGCCUAGAUUGUGUGCCCUAGUCUCAACACUUCAUCAUUGAGCCUUCGUUCAUCCUCUACCGGUGUAUCGACGACGUCACGCUACAGCACCACUGUGAUUUAAAGGCUACAAAUGAUAAAAUUGUUUCCCAAUUGGGCUAAAACCAUCAAAUUCGAAACCAUCAUCACCGUAGGAUAGGAGGGUCUGAUGUUUCGUGUGGCAAAUGAGAUCGGCUUGCGCCGGUGGAUCCUCUUCUUCGGCGGUCGCACGUUCGAGUUAGAGGAGUCGUCGGUGGAUUCCAUAAGCCAUCGAAGUUUGUCGAUUGUGGAGAGAGGCCAGGGGCUCCGACGGGCUGUUGUUUUAGUUGGGUUUGAAAUAUGUUGGCUUGUGACGAAACCAAGGAUGGCAUCGCAAGAACCAGGUUCCACAUCCUCAACCUUAAGAAUUAGAGGUUAACCCUCAGUUUGAAGACGACUUAGAUAAGGACUGGUUAAGGGAAGAAGAAAUGCAAAGUACCGGUAUUAUCAGAUUUUUAGUUCAGGUACAAACUAUAAGUCCUCUUUUUUAAUGUUAUUUUCAUGUUUCAAAUCAUUACAAAUUUUAAUAUUAGCAGCGUAUCAAACUCUAAUGUGAGAUCAAAAGAAUAGACCAUUGGAUGUUGUUGUUGGUUGCUUGAUUAGUGGCUGCUACUAAUUAAUGUUUGGACUUAUUGGCUGAUUCAAAUACUUAUUAUUGUUUUCUCUAUUAAUUAGGGGGGUUUACUAGUCUAGGGUAUGUUUUUCUCUUGUUAAUUAAAAGGGAUUUGAAUGAUGGUUGCAACCAAAAUAACCACCAAACCACACCAUCAACCCCUUUCUUGUCUUGACUUGCUGUUGAUGCAGUCACACAACAAUAUCCAAAGCAAUCUUCAAGCUACAUCUUCAGCCCCUUCCCUGCAACUACUAAGUAUCAAAUGAUGCCCACACACAUGUUAUUCUUUUAAUUUAUCACAAUCUACUUGCUUAACCCCCAAAUUGACCACAUCACUGCUAAGGUAACUAGUUUCCAAAUUUUGAGAACCAACUUUUUGAAUUUGGUGCCUGCCCACCAUUGAAGAAGCCCCUCUACUAAACCUAGCAUUACCCAAACCAUCCUCCAAUACUUCAAUAUGUUAGCCCAAACUUUCCACACCAUAGGGCAAAACAGCAGAACAUGGGCCCCUCUGUCACUGAUGAUGAAGGUUCUAAAUUAGCUUUAGUAUCUAACCAAUAGAUUGUUUAGUGGCUGCUAUAUGUUUGCCCAAACUCUAAGCUUAUUUGUUAUAUUCUAUAUUAGCUUUAGUAUCUAACCAAUAGAU